rnacentral:rRNA from 1 species
UGGGGAAUAUUGCACAAUGGGCGCAAGCCUGAUGCAGCCAUGCCGCGUGUGUGAAGAAGGCCUUCGGGUUGUAAAGCACUUUCAGCGAGGAGGAAGGUGGUGAGCUUAAUACGCUCAUCAAUUGACGUUACUCGCAGAAGAAGCACCGGCUAACUCCGUGCCAGCAGCCGCGGUAAUACGGAGGGUGCAAGCGUUAAUCGGAAUUACUGGGCGUAAAGCGCACGCAGGCGGUUUGUUAAGUCAGAUGUGAAAUCCCCGGGCUCAACCUGGGAACUGCAUUUGAAACUGGCAAGCUAGAGUCUCGUAGAGGGGGGUAGAAUUCCAGGUGUAGCGGUGAAAUGCGUAGAGAUCUGGAGGAAUACCGGUGGCGAAGGCGGCCCCCUGGACGAAGACUGACGCUCAGGUGCGAAAGCGUGGGGCAGCAAACAGGAUUAGAUACCCUGGUAGUCCAGCGCUGUAAACGAUGUCGAUUUGGAGGUUGUGCCCUUGAGGCGUGGCUUCCGGAGCUAACGCGUUAAAUCGACCGCCUGGGGAGUACGGCCGCAAGGUU